CCUAGCCGCUACCGGUCAGGCUUUUUCCCGGUGCGCUGCUUUAUCCCGGGAAGCCGUGUGGGCGCGUCAUCAACUCGUGCCUCCUUUCUUCCGCUUCCGGGUGGUGGCCGCCUUCCUUUAUUUUACAGCGCGAAGGGGAGGCAGGGUAGGGGCUUGUUGAGCUCAGUGCCGUAACGUGGUUGGGAGCGGCUUUGUUCGCCGAGAGGGCAGUCCUGCGGCGGUUCUGCCGAAGCAUAAAAGCGGAGCCCGGGAGUACAAGAUGGAGGGGUGGGCGCAGAGGCUCUUUAGGGGCUGCCCCGUGCGCGCAGCCCGCCCCGCUGGAGCUCCUCGGCAGCCCCCGGGCUCCUGCCGAGCGCUGAGCGGAGCGCGGAAGCUGGCAGCAGCGAGGGACGUGCGGUAAGAGGAAGCGUUUGCGGGGCUAAAGAACAAAAGCAGUGCGUCCCGCAAGUAACAAAUCUGAGCGUGUUCCCUGCUUUGUGGGGAUGGCGUCUGAACGUUUGGUAGUAGUAACGGCCAUCUGUGUUACUUUCGGAAACCAACCCAUCUUGUGACCAAGACAUAGAAGAGUUCUUGUUUUCUGUGAUUUAUGUGUUAUGAUUAAUGAGCAAGGUUGUUCACUGCAUGUGCAACAAUUCAUAGUGGAUAAAGCUUAUUUAAUCUUUGCAAAAUGUAUGUCUUUUAUAUUUUUGUUUCUUUGUCAAACUGAUGUGUUAUGAAGAAGCUCCCUGAGUCUUAUGUAGAAGAGGCUAAGUGGCCCAGUUUGGCACUUCUGAUCUACCAGAAAGAUGCCUGUUGCUUUAAUGUUCUGGAGAUUCAGGAAGGGAAUUAAGUGAAAUUUAAUUAAAAAGGCAAAGAUGUUACCAUGCUGAACUAGAAUUCUCAAUUAAAAAUUGAUACACAUUAGGUUGUGAUGGAAACUUGAUUGUAUUUGGAAUCCCAUGUCUAAUUCCAGCUAUUUCCGCAAGGAUAUGGUUAAUAAGAAAAGAGAAGCGAAAUGGAGACAUCACAUUGAAGGGUCAUAAAUCCUUGUGGGGACAAUGAUUUAAAUCGCCUGUUCACGAGAAGUAUUAAUGGAACUCCCAUGGGAUUUCUGAUGUUUUGCUCUUCUUCCUGUUAGAAGAACUGUUAUCAGUUCAAUUUUGAAAACAGUAACAAAAGCACAUUCAAACUGUGGAGUUUAAACUCAAUCAUUUCCAGACCUUCUGCAGCUGAGCAAAAUUAGUGGUUAUGAAUUGAUGGUUUGAGUUUCUUAUACGUACACAAGAACAAAGGUGUCUAAGAAUGAUACUGUCACAGAGGCUUUUCCCUUUGGAGGAAAAAAAAAAAAAAAAAAAAAUGUGGGUGUGUGUGGCAGGGGUGAAGGGAAGGCAGCUGGUUGAAAAGAUCAGAAGAAAAGGCUUGUUUCAGCUUAUCAGGGCAGGACUCCUCUUUGUGUCCGAGUCAGAUAUGUCUUCCUUACUUGUUGCAGAGCCUGAAAAUGAAACGUUAUUAUAUGCAAUAACAGUUGAGCUCUACUUAAGUGUUUUAUUGUCUCUUGAAGCUUUUUUGAAGCUCCUGUUCAGCGUGCCAGGUGAAUAAUAUGAGGUGUAUCAUCAGGGCAACACCUGGCAACAUCAACUUGUCCUUUGAGACCAGUUAGAAUGCUCAGUGUACCUACAGUUCUGGACUGCACAGCUAAAAUCUGUGUGGCAUACAUACAUUUUGAAUGCUGAAGAAGAAGCUGUGAAACUUUUAUAGUAAUUUUACCUAACUGGUGAUCUGAGCCAGUUGUUGGAUUUGGAUCCUUUAACGGGGGGAAGUCAUGCUAAUGAUAAAAGUAGAAGUGUUUUGAGUCCUGUACUGAGGGAAUAGAAUGUAAAAUGUUCAACCUAGAGAGCAGACCUUUAAAUUAGACACUUUUUAGAUGUCAAAGUAAUUAAUACAAUAGUACAAAUUAGUACCAAGUAAUUAGUCCCAGUAUGAUGAGUGUACUAAGUCUGCUUUGGGAAUUGUGAAGCUGUCCUGUGACAAGAACCAUGCGGCGUGAACUUCGGAAUAGAGUAAAAUUGCUGUUCAGUGUAAGCAAGCUUCUUGCAACUUUGUUUCCUGAGCAGAGACUUUUAGACCUUUGUUACUUAUUUGCAGGUGAUAGCAAUCCUUGAGUCUUUCGCUAUUACAAAGGAAGUAUAACUUUAUAUAUGUUAGUUUUCAUACUAAGUUGAGAAGUGUUACCUCUGAGUAUGCUUUGUGCAUCUCUUGGCCUCUUUUUGACUUGGAGUUAAGAACGGCAGAAUUUUUCACCGGUCUAAAAAAAAAAAAAAAAAAAAAAUUGCACAAAGCUGAGAAAGUAAAAUUUAU